rnacentral:rRNA from 1 species
AUUGAACGCUAGCGGGAUGCCUUACACAUGCAAGUCGAACGGCAGCACGGACUUCGGUCUGGUGGCGAGUGGCGAACGGGUGAGUAAUGUAUCGGAACGUGCCUAGUAGCGGGGGAUAACUACGCGAAAGCGUAGCUAAUACCGCAUACGCCCUACGGGGGAAAGCAGGGGAUCGCAAGACCUUGCACUAUUAGAGCGGCCGAUAUCGGAUUAGCUAGUUGGUGGGGUAACGGCUCACCAAGGCGACGAUCCGUAGCUGGUUUGAGAGGACGACCAGCCACACUGGGACUGAGACACGGCCCAGACUCCUACGGGAGGCAGCAGUGGGGAAUUUUGGACAAUGGGGGAAACCCUGAUCCAGCCAUCCCGCGUGUGCGAUGAAGGCCUUCGGGUUGUAAAGCACUUUUGGCAGGAAAGAAACGUCAUGGGCUAAUACCCCGUGAAACUGACGGUACCUGCAGAA